CCAAAGGGCACCCAGGGGGCACCCAGGGAGCACUGGGGACAGACUGGGAGCACCCACAGUGGGGAACUGGGGACACUGGGGGGGGAAACUGGGACCGGACACAGCUCUGGGACUGGGAUUGUUAUUUUCAUACUGGGAUUGUUAUUUUUGGACUGGGAUUGUUAUUCUGGGACUGGGAUCAUGGAUCUGGGACUGGGAUUGUUAUUCCUGGACUGGGAUUAUCAUUUUCCUACUGGGAUUGUUAUUCCUGGACUGGGAUCCCAGCUCUGGGAUGCAGCUCCAGACUGGGAUCGCUAUUUUCAUACUGGGAUCGCUAUUUUCAUACUGGGAUUGUUAUUUUCAUACUGGGAUUUUCAUACUGAGAUCACAGAUUUGGGACUGAGAUCAGGGAUCUGGGACUGGGAUCGGGACUGGAAUCAAGGAUCUGGGACUGGGAUUGCUAUUUUCAUACUGGGAUUGUUAUUUUGGGACUGGGAUCAUGGAUUUGGGACUGGGAUGAAGGAUCUGGGACUGGGAUCCUGGAUCUGGGACUGGGAUCGCUAUUUUCAUACUGGGAUUGUUAUUUCUGGACUGGGAUCAUGGAUCCGGGAUUGGGAUCAUGGAUUUGGGACUGGGAUCCUGGAUCUGGGACUGGGAUCACAGUUUUGGGACUGGGACUGUUAUUUUCAUACUGGGAUCGAGGAUUUGGGACUGGGAUCACAGGACUGGGAUUGGGACUGGGAUCGGGACUGGGAUCCUGGAUCUGGGACUGGGAUCCCAGCUCUGGGAUG
rnacentral:lncRNA from 1 species